rnacentral:rRNA from 1 species
CUUCCUACGGGAGGCAGCAGUGGGGAAUCUUGCGCAAUGGGCGAAAGCCUGACGCAGCAACGCCGCGUGCGGGAAGAAGGCCUUCGGGUUGUAAACCGCUUUCAGAAGGAACGAAACUGACGGUACUUUCAGAAGAAGGUGCGGCCAACUACGUGCCAGCAGCCGCGGUGACACGUAGGCACCAAGCGUUGUCCGGAUUUAUUGGGCGUAAAGAGCUCGUAGGCGGUUCGCUAAGUCGGGUGUGAAAUCGUUGGGCGCAGCCCAAAGCGUGCAGUCGAUAUUGUUGUGACUAGAGUUCGGUAGGGGAGUGGGGAAUUCCUAGUGUGGCGGUGAAAUGCGCAGAUAUUAGGAGGAACACCGUUGGCGAAGGCGCCACUCUGGGCCGAAACUGACGCUGAGGAGCGAAAGCGUGGGUAGCAAACAGGAUUAGAUACCCCGGUAGUCCAC